GAUGAACGCUAGCGGCAGGCUUAAUACAUGCAAGUCGUGGGGCAGCAGGUUUGUAGCAAUACAGAUGCUGGCGACCGGCAAACGGGUGCGGAACACGUACGCAACCUCCCUCUAACUGGAAGAUAGCCCACCGAAAGGUGGAUUAAUACUCCAUAACAUAUUGAAAAGGCAUCUUUUUGAUAUUAAAGCUCCGGCGGUUAGAGAUGGGCGUGCGUCUGAUUAGGUAGUUGGCGGGGUAACGGCCCACCAAGCCUGCGAUCAGUAGCUGAUGUGAGAGCAUGAUCAGCCACACGGGGACUGAGACACGGGCCCGACUCCUACGGGAGGCAGCAGUAAGGAAUAUUGGUCAAUGGACGCAAGUCUGAACCAGCCAUGCCGCGUGGAGGAUGAAGGUCCUCUGGAUUGUAAACUUCUUUUCUCUGGGACGAAACCCCCGAUUUCCAUCGGGCCUGACGGUACCAGAGGAAUAAGCACCGGCUAACUCCGUGCCAGCAGCCGCCGUAACAC
rnacentral:rRNA from 1 species